UGGGGAAUAUUGCACAAUGGGCGGAAGCCUGAUGCAGCGACGCCGCGUGAGGGAUGACGGCCUUCGGGUUGUAAACCUCUUUCAGCAGGGACGAAGCGUGAGUGACGGUACCUGCAGAAGAAGCGCCGGCCAACUACGUGCCAGCAGCCGCGGUAAGACGUAGGGCGCGAGCGUUGUCCGGAUUUAUUGGGCGUAAAGAGCUCGUAGGCGGCUUGUUGCGUCGACCGUGAAAACCCGGGGCUCAACUUCGGGCUUGCGGUCGAUACGGGCGGGCUAGAGUUCGGUAGGGGAGACUGGAAUUCCUGGUGUAGCGGUGAAAUGCGCAGAUAUCAGGAGGAACACCGGUGGCGAAGGCGGGUCUCUGGGCCGAUACUGACGCUGAGGAGCGAAAGCGUGGGGAGCGAACAGGAUUAGAUACCCCCGUAGUCC
rnacentral:rRNA from 1 species